rnacentral:ncRNA from 2 species
AAAUAACUAUAAAGUCAGGCUGGAAAAUUAUAUUUCACAGCCGGGCCUUAAGGCAGCGGAUAUGCCCGCGGGACUUCA